rnacentral:misc_RNA from 1 species
GAACGCACAUUGCGCCUCCUUGGAGGCAUGCCUGUCUGAGUCUCAUGAACACCUCAACUCUCAUGGCUUGCCAUGAUGAGCUUGGACUUUGGGGGUCUUGUCGGCCUGCGGUCGGCUCCUCUCAAAUGGAUCAGCUUGCCAGUGUUUGGUGGCGUCACAGGUGUGAUAACUAUCUGCGCUUGUGGUUUCCCAUCAGAUAACCUUCAGCGAUGGAGGUUCGCUGGGGCUCAUAAAUGUCUCUCCUAAGUGAGGACAGCCCUUUGAACGUUUGAUCUCAAAUCAGGUAGGACUACCCGCUGAACUUAAG